rnacentral:lncRNA from 1 species
CACGGGACACGCUCGAAGGCGCCGGGCUUGGGUGCAGAGGCUCUCGGUGCCCGGCGGAGCUGAGCACGGGGGAUGCGCGCAACCAACUCGCGGCAGGAUUGAGGCAUAGAAGAAAAUUUCCACAUGACGCUCCAGUCCUUCACCCGCAGCUAAAAUAUGAAAGAGUGCCUAUGGAAAAAGCAUUUGGAUUCGCUAGAACCAACUGCAGUGCUUUGGUCCAUCACACAAGGUAAGAACAGUAGCAGUGAACACUCCCCCCAUCUCCCUUUUUGC